UUUAGGGUAGCUAACAAGGUGGCAGCGACACACAGAUAAAAGGUAGAUGGGAAGCAGGCAGGACUUCUGAAAUGAGAAGUCCGAAACCUUCGCAAGAAAUGAUACCACCCUGACAGUCAGCAAAUCAAUAGAGGAAAUAAAUUCAUCAAUGAAGUUUUGGGAGAGACAGGGGCUACUACUACUGCUCUUCCAGGGAGCGAGCUGCCAGGACCCGCUGUGCAGUGCAGCGCGGACAGGAGGGGGCACACACAAGGUGGACGUGCAGCUCCUGACAAGUUUCACCUUUCCGACCCCAAAGAGCAGGAGGGCUCGAGCCCAUCGAUCCGACCUGCCGCGAUUCGGAGCGGCCUCGGGCCGCAGCCCACCCCUCAAAGUUUGCCGCACAAGUUGCCCGCCGGCGAGCGGCAGCGCCGGUCCCGCGCCCGCCCGAGCCCCUUGACAGCUCGCUCGCCGCUGCGGGCCGCCUCUGCCCUGCGCCCCGGCCGCCCCUCGCUGCUCCUCUGCUCCCCGGCACUGCUGCUCCGCGGCCGGCGGCGCUCGGGGCCCCAGCACGCCGCCGCUCCUCGCCUUCCCCGUCCGCACCCCGCGCCCCCCCACCGGCCCGGCUAAUGAGUGACGGCUCGGACACCUGUUCCCCGUCCCCAGAGCCGCCAGCGCGGGCAGCCGCUCCCCCGGGAGUCCCGGCCCGUACCCCCCACCCGCUGCCACCCCGGUCGUUCGUCCCCCCGCCUGCCACUACCCCGCCGCGCACGGGGGAAAGAAAGGGGGAAAGGGGAAGGAGGCGGAAGGGGGAAACUUCCUGGCUCCGGAUGGCAAAUCAGCUGCACAUUCUGCAAAUACCACCGGUCUGCUGACCCCGUUCACCUUAGUUCCCUGAGACUAAACUCCAUGGAGAUGGCGAAUAACUAGGUUGUGUGUACCGCUUUAUUCUUCUGCUGGUUUUCCUAGGCGUGAUGUUCAGUUGCUAUUUUACAAACUUCUAAACUUCAGUAUUUUUCUUUUGCUAAUGUUCUUUUUCUGAUUUCACUCAAGUUUAGAACUGUUGUCUCAGAUCUACAACUGUAGCAUUUCUCAGUUUGGCUGUGCUGGCUUUGCCGGCAGUUGCGCACAGGACUAACUUUUUCGGGUCUGGAUCCUAGCAAAAAUGCCAAGCUAUGAGCAGCCUUGGCUCUAUGAGUAGACUAGGCUGGUUUUGGGAGAUGUCUUUGCAGGAUCAGAGACAAGAGUUCUCACGCACCUGAAUUUCCAGCAGGCAGGCAUCACAUUUCUGUGUUAAACUACUUUCCCCAGCUCCACCUUUCAUUUCACCGAGACAGUGAGUAUACAUUACAGUUGCAUGUGCACAUUUUGUGGCGGUGAUUCCACAGAAGCAUCCACAGAGACCUUUUCUGUCACCCCCUGGCUGCCUCUACAGGCGCUAGGAGCCUGGGCUCGCUGGCACCAUGCUCAGCACCGGGGUUUGGAGGUGCAGCUGCCUGCCUGCCCAGGCACAAGGGCUGUGGGGUGGAUCUGCCUCCACUCCAGGGCUUGCAGGAUUUGGGCCCUGGGCCGCAGCUAGGCAAACCUGAACGCUCUUGGAUAAUUUUGUUCACUGGCAGCAGGGAACUCCACAUCAGCACACCCACACAGAAGCCCUUGCAGGAGUGUCUUGCUCUUCCCAUGUGCUUCCCUGUCUGUGUCUGUCUCCACCUGUUGCCUCUUGUCUGGUGUUUACACCAUCAGCUCUUUGGGGCAGAAACCAUGGUUUUGCUCUGGAUUUGUCAGUGCCUUGCACAAUGUGGCCCAGCUCCAUAACCACAAGUCCUAUGUGCUAUUGCUACACACAUAAAUAAUAAUAAUAAUUAAUAAUAAUAGGCUAAUUCCUCUGAUUUUGAUGUGACUACUCAUGUGAGUAAAAGUGACUCACAUACAUGAGCGUGUGUGGGACCACUGCCAGGUCUUGUCUUGAGCUUUUAUUGUGAGUCUUCCAAUAUUUGGUGUUCUCUUUUGAUUCCCAGCUCCUGGAAUGACUUGUUUCUAGCAUUUGCCUCGACACAAGGACACUUGGAAAUGUGGCCUAGUGCUGUCAAAAGCCUCAGAAGCCAGAGAACAAAUAGGAAACUUCCAAAGAAAUAAAUUUUUAAUGGCUUUUGUGAAAUUCCUGUGAUUUGGCAGCUCAGGGAGGAGUGGAGUCUGACUCAUGAAUUUUGAGCAGUCAAGUUUAGCAAUAUGCAUCAAUUGAGUUAAAUAUUUAGGUCCCUGUAAAGACUAGACUUUUACUAACCAGGCCAAACUUAUAGUGCAGAGACAUAUUUUGUGGAAAUAAUGUUUAUAGUGCCAGUAUGUUUGCAAAAUCUGAGUUUUUGUAUACUUGUAUAUUGUUUGGGAUUUGUCAUUCUGUAGUUAUUUGUUUUUACCUGUUCACAGUAAGAAAGCAAGAAAAAAUACAUGAAAGUGGGAUUAUUAAAGUAAAUAGGACUAUGUGAAACUGUUAAUAAUUGUAGCAAGUAUUUAUAAAUUGCUGAAAAUACAACCAGCAAACUUCUUGAGUUUGGUAUGCUGGAGAGACACUGCCAUGUUAAAACCCAUAUGCUUCUGAAAGGAAAUGUUCCAACUUCUUACAAAAGUAAAAGAGAGCAGAUCCCAAGCUAUGAAUUCUUGCUUAUGAGGCAUCCCUGAAGAAUGAAGGGUUGGGAGAAUAGGGCCCUUUAAUUAAACCUGCAUCGUUACUUUUAAUUGCAUUUACUUACUAUUUUCUCUUGUUCAUGUUUUUGCAUUUCUCUCAUCUAGGGUGUUGAACGCAGACUGGUCUUUCUUUUGUUUGGAAGUUUGCUAAUUUUGAAGUGCUGUGGAGCUGGCCUACUUAGGAGGAGCACUUGGGCAAGGGCUUUUGAGGUGGUCCUGUUUGUCACCACAGAUCCUCUUCUGCCUGUGCUCCCCUGCACGUGGUGGGAGGCUCGGACACCGUUGUGAGCUGUGCCUCGGCAGCUUUGAGUCUCCUUCCAGACCACAGCUCACCCAAAGCCCAGUCAGCCCCUGGUGUUCACUGUACGAGCCCCAGAGUGUGCAGCUCCUCAGCCAGAUAGAGCAGGAGCAGGUUUAACAGUACCGGAAAAUUCAACAAUAAACCUCAAACAGAAGCUGACUGAGAUGCAUCUGGCAAGCCAGAAUGCUUCAGUACAGAUUCAGUUUUGUUCUUGCCCAUGGGGGUUCCAUGUCCACUGCUUGGGAUUCAUCUUGAACCAGAUGAUGUCUCUCAUUGGGAUUGAAGAUCCUUAACCAAAGAUCUCUAUGGAAAAUGUCUCUCAGUUUUGCUCUUUUUUGUUUCAAGCAUACAACACAACAGUGGAAAAAAAAUCCAAAAGGAAUCUUGGACAUUACUUUCAUUUCCUUUCCUCUUAUAGUUUUCUUUGCUGGCAUUUACUAAACCUGUGAGCCCUCACACAGUUAUGGCUCCCAUCUUCAGUAGUUCCUGCUUGCCUGAUCAUUUAACAAACAGUGGCACAAGAUCAUUGGCAGCUUAGGUUCCACACACUCCUCCAUCUCCAAAGAGGUUUCAUCUAUUCCCAGCCUUUCUUUAGCUACCAUAGCAUGUAGUGAUGCCAUUAGUUGCUGCCCUUGGGGAGAGGACAUCCUGCACACUGCAAGCUUGGUGCCCAUAAGAUAUUGGUUCUAUUGAGCUACAUAUUUCAAAUGAAUUUCCAUGGGCUGAAGUUGCAGGACACAUUUUUGCUAUUUAUCAUUCAGCAAUUAGCAAUAAUAGCAUUCAAACUCAUUGUUAGGUUGUCUGCUGUCCACAAUUCUUGAUUAAACCUAGAAAUUUGUCUCUUAAGCCUAACUUCAUAGAAGUUGCUUUGCUUUUGCUCAGAACCCUCAUUUCCACUGUGGAGUGGGGUGGGUGGUAGACAUGCAGGACAUGGUGUCUGUCAAAUCCCCUUGUGAGCUGCUGGGCAGCAGUGAGAUGUGAGCAUGAGGAGGUAAUACAAGUCAUUCAGCACAGAAGUGAGCCAAACACUUGGACUGAUGACAGGACAGCUGUGCAUCAAGCAUACAGGCUAUGUCUUUGCUGCAGAGUAGAGGCUAAUGCAUUUUAGUCACACCCAGCACAUACCCCAGAACACUCCAUCUGGCUAUGCUGUGCAAGUGCAGCCAGAGAAAACUGCAUACCCUUAAAAAUUACUCACACAAGAAAAAUGAUGCUAAAACAACAUGAGAAGGGCAUGAAUUAAAAUGCCAUAAGCAGAGAAAUACAUGCUGAGGGUUCUAACUUUGUCCUCAGGUCACCCUGCUUUCAGCAGAAGGGAAGAAGAAGGAAUGCAAAGGUGUUUGCUGUAGCUCUGAGGCUCAUGGCAAUACUCAGGCUGAGAUGCCGUGUUCCCGCCCGCUCAGAGCAGGUGACAUGCUUUCCAUAGGCCUACAUGCCACAUUAAUUCCUCAAAGAAGCACUUAAUCUCUAGCAAAUGAGGAGCUGGAUGAGGUCUAGACUGACCAAACUACCAAACUGGACUGGCCCAGUCACCUAUGCCAUGUGGACUACCCAAGGGCCAUAAGGCGACGGGAGUGACAUUUUCCAAACCCAGUGCAGAGCAGGGUGCUGUCCAGGACCUCUGAUCCUGCUUCACAACUCACUGGAAGAAUGAAGAAAUCACUCAGACAUGCACUAUAAAAAGCCUGUGUAUUUACUUAGUUUCAUAAUGGAAAAUUAAAAGUAAUUGCAGAGGAGGAGGAGGCAUUUUUUUCAGUUGCAAGUACAAUAUUAUCCACUUCCAUAUUUUAUCAUUGGAGUGGCACAAGUAAUCAAGGAGUAUCACAUGGUCAUUUUUGUCAAGUGCCUUUUUGUCACAGGCAACUAUUUCUUUGCAUGUGCCCAUUUCAGAAGAAGAAAUUGGUUAGAUCCCCAUCGUACCCUGCUCCAAAUCCUCUGUGCAGAGGAGGCAUUGCUUCACACUGGCACUACUGGGGCAAGAAUUAUUUAUAUUGAAGAGGAUCAGGCUCUGCAUUUUGAAACGUCUUUGCUUGGAAAUACACAUGAUUAAUAUCAGUAUGUAGGUAUGUUAUAUAAAUAUUGAAACCUUGUGGACCUAAUUAAAGGCCUACAGACUGAUACUGACUUUUGGUUGGAAUAAAUGAGUGUGUACAAGAAUUUGCCCUGCUCAGAAUCUGUCCUUACCUGUUUUAUUUGCCUCAAAUAUACAUAAAGGUUCAAGCAAAAGACUUGACACUUAACAAGAAACAUCCUGCAUUUAACCCCAAUUCUGCCCCAAAAUUUCCCAGUGACUUCACUAUUCCAUGUGUCUGGGUAACAUCCACAGGUCUGGGGCUUAGUCCUAAGAGAGACUACUAAAGGUAACAAAUAAAUAUAGGAGGAAACAAUAAUAAAUAAUCAACAACAAUAAUAAAACUGGAA